AAACCCCGUCAAAACCUGGCUGGCUAUCGUUAACGGUGAUAAAACAACUCUAUCAGAAGCGCUACAGAGAAUAACCAUUUGUUGAGACCCUCAGUGAAAGCAGUUGUACGCUUACAAUAGGUCAUUCAUAAAUACAGUCAAAUGAUAAAUUAUUCUAACCAGGGACUAUUCAGCCUGAGUCCUCUACAAUACUAUGUUUUCUUUUGAGCGAAAGGAUGUAGUUUCUGUGCCAUACCAUUAACUGGAGUCCAUCGGAGGCGGAGUUUCACCCUGGAUUUGUCCUUAAGCGAUCGGUUACUAUAGUAUGCGGUUCAACGGGAUCACUAGUUGCUGCUUACUGCGAUUAUAUUAUUCAGUCUGAUCCGUUCCGAAUCGGUUCUGCAAGCAUUUGCAACAAGGUCCGCUAGUUUCCUCCAGAAAUGGUACGGUUGAUCAUUGUUCUUUCUUUCGAUAUUUUUCAAAACGAACAUAAUUUUCACAGUUGAGCUGGACUGAGUGGUUUCGGUCCAUUAAUAUGCACGUUUGAGGAGCAACAUGUCUUUUUGCACGAAUGCCGGGCUAUCAUAACUGAUCUUGGGGAAUAACAAGGGGAAACUCCCCCCUCAUACAGACUUCUUGAACAAUGACAAUACCAAGCGCCACAAGCAGCGGCUCCUCAACAGCCAAGAUCAGCAGACACGGGCGGUCCAAAAGCACCAGUACACACCGUCAUAGUAGCGGUCCGCCUCUGGAGUCCUCCUCGUCCACUGCCGCGAACAACACCGGUAGGUCGUCCGGUGAGGAAGAGGAGAAAGAUGGUGGGGUACCGUUUUACGUGAACAGGACGGGCUUUCCUAUUGACAGUGUCACCUGGGAGAGGAUGUGGUCCCAUGUUGCCAGAGUUCACCCCAGUGGACAGGAGAUGGUGGAUAGGAUACGAAAUGCAACUCACCUCCCUAAACACCCCAUGCCAUCGGUUCCAAACUUUAAGCCAUCCAUGUCUGUGCCUGAUUGGCUCCAUGCUGUCCAGAACUUCAUGAGAAACCUGCAAUACAACCACACAGGAACACAGUUCUUUGAGAUUAAGAAAACCAGACCUCUGAGUGGAUUGAUGGAGACUGCCAGAGAGAUGAUAAGAGAAUCACUUCCCAUUAAAUGCCUUGAAGCAGUUAUCCUUGGAAUCUACCUAACCAAUGGUCUGACCUCCAUGGAACGGUUCCCCAUCAGUUUUAAGACACAGUUUUCCGGGCACCACUUCCAUCACGUGGUGUUGGGCGUUUACUGUAACGGCCGUUACGGCACCUUGGGUAUGAGUCGGCGUGCUGAUCUCAUGGACAGAGCUCUGACCUUUCGUACACUUAGCGAGCUAGUUUUCGACUUUGAAGACUCGUAUCGCCGCUACCAGCACACUAUGAAGAAGAUAAAGAUCGGCUUGUAUGUGCCCCACAAUCCGCAUGUUUUCCAGCCAAUCGAGUGGAACUAUCUGGUGAUCAACGCCUGUAAGCAGGGCCAUGAAGACAUGCGCAAAGAGCUGGAAAAGCACGGCCGUGACAUGAGGAUGAAGCACUGGACCCCUGCCGGUUUGAUGAUAGGUAGUAUUCCACAUCUGUUCCUCUCCCCAACUUUCACUGUUUUUCUUUUACCACCUGCAGCAAGAUUUCAAGCCCUUGUUCAUUAUUCUCAAGUCAUCUAGUGCUCAGUCUCCAAUCAAAGAACGAACCCGAGGAAAAUCUUUAUCACCACACCGACGACUCGGCAGCAGUCCACAAAGACGCCAGCAUCUCCACAGAAGAGACAAAUCGCCAGCAGCUCUAGACAGAAAGCCAGCAGAGCUCAGCACCCUCAAUGACGGCUACCAGAUCCGAAUCUGAGAUGCUAAAGAGCUGAACCACCAGCUUUCCCAUCCACAACCUCUGAAAAGCCCUCCCUUCAUCCCUCAUCUCCACAGAUGAUGUUUUUAAACUAUUUAAUGCACAUUGUGAACUGUAUAUUAAACGUAUUUACAGUUUUACAUUCUUCUGUGUCAGGGAGAAGACUUGGGUGCCCUUUUCAAAUUUAAAGGCAGAAGACACUAGGUUAGGUUAAGGACCUAUUGUGUACCUUUAAAGGUACACUUUUGUGUUUUGUUCUUCUGGGAACAAAAAAUAAAUUAAAAAUUGUCUCCUUAAGGGUACCAAACUGAUGGCUUUGUACCUUUAACCAAACCUUUUUUUUUUUUCUACAAGUGUAGCAUUUCAAAAGCAGCAGCAAUUCAUAAAUAAUUUUAAACAAAGCUUGAUAAAUAGAGUAUUUCUUUUUAAUUGUUGAAAUUAAAGUGAACCAAAAUUGACUGGCCUUUUCGUCGGAGACGGAUGCUUUUUUGCCAGAGGCAAAAAGACACAAGGGACCAGAACAUAAGAGAGCUACCUUGUACUUCCAUGUUUUUAAUACCUGCACACAAUCCCCAGACACUGGAAUGUGGAUGGCACAGACAUUAUUUAUUGACUAAGGUUUGAGUCUAACUUAUAAUGAACGGUUGAAAACAAUCAUGGUUACAGUUACAGUUUUUUUUUUUUUUUACCCCUUACAGUAUUUCGUGUUUUAAAGUAUUUUCCUCUUACUUUGUUACGUUUUCUUUAAACCAUUUUUCUCUAGACGCGUAAAGGGUGAUGUGCUAUUGAUUGACCCGUCCAUUGCAAAUAUUCCUAAAAUUCCCACACACUUACUUGUUUGGAGAAUGUAUAUCAGUUUUAUGUAAUUUCCUACUGCAUCUUGACACUGAUAAGAAACCUUUGGUCACAUGUAUCAAUGAAUGCCAUUUUUCAUUGGAUAUAAUAUGCUAAAUAAUAUGAAAAAUAUGGGUACAGAUUUUACGAUGUUAAAAUUCUCAUAUCCUAGGAGAAAUUAUUUCUCUUAGCUUAAUAUGCAGUCAGCUAUUAGUAAGCCAUUUGUUGGUUGAUUUCACUUAAAAGUGUAACACUGAGCAACCUGCCGAGCCCAACACAGCAACAUUGGCUCAACCAAUGGUGUGAGUUUUGGGCAGGAGUAUCUGUUUGUGCAAACAAUGGAAGAUGGAGAGAGUUUUUUGGAAUCUUUUUGAAAACUGAUUAUUUUUGCAGUUCCGUUUGGUGGUGCAGAAAUUACACACUUCAGCUUUUAGGUCAACAACAUACACAAUUCAAGUUAAAAUUAGGUUAUCAACCUCAAACUUUGCCACAUCAUUUGAGAAUAAGCUAUGCAUGUACAACAGGUCUAUGAAUCUGGCCUCCUUGACAGUAGACCAGUCUCUGAAUUGUAGCAGUUACAUUAAACAUAUUACAGAUUCUUUGUGGGUUGUUUUAGCAGUUGUUCUCUGGACAUCUGUUUUAACUGGUGCUGUUGACUAAACUACCACGUUAUAGCUCAUUCUGCCUUGCAAUUGGUACCAGCUUUUUAUCAAAAGCUAUUAAACCACACAAGUGCCAGAGCAUUGAAUGCCAACAGUAAGUCAUUCUUAAGGCUGAGGGCUUCACACUCUUGGUCACAUGAAGAUGAAAGAACUUCAUUUGUUUCAAUGACAUAUCGUAUGCACCUUGAUGAACGGCUCAGACCCUUUGUGGGAGAGAAGCGGUCUGCUGCUCAUUUGGGUACCUGAAGAAGAUCAAAUUGUUGCAGAAUUAUAUAAUUUAUAACCUGAUGUUUGGUAACUGAUCAAAUGUGUGUGAAACUUUACAUGGUUCUUUGGAUUUCUGGUUUGAAGGAAAAUGCAAUGAUCUCCCCUCAAAGGUGCUAAGGCAAGACACCCAUUUUAUAGAUAUUAAAUAACUUUUAUUUUAGCAUCGGCUCGUUUUAUAAUUAAAAAGCACAUUAAACUGAUAUUUCUUUAUCAUAGUGAUUGGGAAAGAAAUAAUAAGCUCUUAAAUACAGGAUAAUACCAGAUUAGUUUUAAGCCUUACCACAAUAUUCACGAAAAUAUAGAUGAUUUUGUGGAAUUUUAAUAUUUCUAUGUCUUAUGCAGGCUUGACAUGUUUGAAAAUACAAUCCAUUUUAAUGAAUUACACAAAUACUUUAUUAUUCAAAAUCUGCAAACACUGCAAUUUUAUUUUCUAAGGAAGGUGUUUAGUGAUUAGAAUGUUAAUGGUGUGAAUUUCUCAAGUCUUUUGAGAAGAACUAAUUUUAAACUUGGCCUCAGUUUUGUGUUCAAGAUGUUUGUAUUAUACAUGCACUGUUUAAAUAAAUUUAAAUUAAAUAAGACUUUAUAAAACUGGAUUGACCCUGAACUGUUAUUCAGAUUUUUUUCUAGGCCUUACAACAGCUUGUACCAUCUGUACAACGUAUUUUCUGUCAUAAAUUUGUGUUUCUGGGUCACCUGCAUUCCCCCAUGAUGAAGCACUGCUGUAAUUUGUAUAUUAUCCUCUGUAGCAUGGUUUAAUAAAAGUAUG